UGGGGAAUAUUGCACAAUGGGCGCAAGCCUGAUGCAGCAACGCCGCGUGAGGGAUGACGGCCUUCGGGUUGUAAACCUCUUUUAGUAGGGAAGAAGCGAAAGUGACGGUACCUGCAGAAAAAGCACCGGCUAACUACGUGCCAGCAGCUGCGGUAAUACGUAGGGUGCAAGCGUUGUCCGGAAUUAUUGGGCGUAAAGAGCUCGUAGGCGGCUUGUCGCGUCUGCUGUGAAAUCCCGGGGCUCAACCCCGGGCCUGCAGUGGGUACGGGCAAGCUAGAGUGCGGUAGGGGAGAUUGGAAUUCCUGGUGUAGCGGUGGAAUGCGCAGAUAUCAGGAGGAACACCGAUGGCGAAGGCAGAUCUCUGGGCCGCUACUGACGCUGAGGAGCGAAAGCAUGGGGAGCGAACA
rnacentral:rRNA from 1 species